rnacentral:rRNA from 1 species
GACGAACGCUGGCGGCGUGCUUAACACAUGCAAGUCGAACGGAAAGGCCCUGCUUUUGUGGGGUGCUCGAGUGGCGAACGGGUGAGUAACACGUGAGUAACCUGCCCUUGACUUUGGGAUAACUUCAGGAAACUGGGGCUAAUACCGGAUAGGAGCUCCUGCUGCAUGGUGGGGGUUGGAAAGUUUCGGCGGUUGGGGAUGGACUCGCGGCUUAUCAGCUUGUUGGUGGGGUAGUGGCUUACCAAGGCUUUGACGGGUAGCCGGCCUGAGAGGGUGACCGGCCACAUUGGGACUGAGGUGCGGCCCAGACUCCUACGGGAGGCAGCAGUGGGGAAUAUUGCACAAUGGGCGGAAGCCUGAUGCAGCAACUCCGCGUGCGGGAUGACGGCCUUCGGGUUGUAAACCGCGUUCGCCUGUGACGAAGCGUGAGUGACGGUAAUGGGUAAAGAAGCACCGGCUAACUACGUG